AUCACCGCUCUAUGUAAUAUCGAACGAGUAUCCAACUGUACGGUUGUGUGGAGUCGAGUCAUUUCUACAGAAUCUAUUGCCUAGUUUAAAUCGUAGUCAGUGGGUCAGUGCCAACUAGUUCCAUACUAGAUCUAGGCAAAUACAAUUUUGAUCAUUAGUGCACAUUUGCGAACCGAAUUUUUCAAUUUGGUGACAGAAACCCGCACUGCAGUUAAAAAUGACUUCCCCAGCACUAAACAAUGGCAAUGGCCAAAAAGAGUCAUCCAACAAAGGAUCGAAUGCCACUCUUCCGCAAUCGCCUGCCAGAAGUGCAAAUGAAGCAUCCGGCUCCAGUUCUUCCACUUCUGCACUAGUGGCGCCUUGGAGAGUCUUCAAAAUGGUAAACUUGCUGAUGAAGCAACAUUGUUAAAAUACAAAGGCCGAGAUGACUUGAACCGCCCGAAUCCAGGUUUAAUUUUAGUCGCGAAAAUAGCAUAUCAAUUUUUUCAAAUUUAACAAAUCGUUCUGCAAUACAUUCAUCCCAUCCCAUCAAUCGAUCAAGCGCUUUAUAGAAUAUUCAGAAGCAACCGCACUCUAGAGUUACCCUAAUCAGUUUUCCCUGAUACGAGCAAUUUAAUAGUUCCGCCAAAAAAACUAGUGUUUUCCAUAUAUCAGGUUUUUUAUGCUUGAAGUUCUAGAAACUUAAGAUAUUUACUGUUAGAGAUACUAAGUUUCCAUAGAAAUAGAUAGAUAUAGGUACAAAGUAUAUUGGUAGAGAUUUAAGCAUAUUUUCUAGUUCGCGAAAUUAUUAAAGUUGUUAAAUUUUCCUAGACUAUACGCACUUAUAUCUAUUACCUAUACACAUAUGACAAUAUUAUUAUUAAGUAAAUCGUUGGUUUGUUGUUUAUAAAUACAAUACAAGAUGUUAGUGUGGAUCUAGUCCAUAAAGUUACACUAUUGUAGAAUUUGGAGAAUAUUUUUUAUCCCGCGAAUUGUUUUGUGAAGUCUUUCAUAAAAAAUUGGCCACAUAUUACUCUGCACAGUAACCGAGUUAAUUAUUUCUGUAUUACUGUUGCGCUACAGUGAGUUUAGUUAAGAAUAAUUGAUAUAAUGGCCAAUAAUCAGCAAUUUAUUACAUUUAUAACUGUAACAUUUCGGUUGACCGUUAAAGGUAAUAUGCUGAACUGAGAUAAAUUAUUCUUGCAUAUUUUUAUAAACAUAUUUUGCUAAUGUGCCGGAUGAAGUAAACAAUUAAAUUCGACAACUUCAAUACCUGUAAAUUGUUAAAUAAAUUAUCUGUUACACCGUUGAAAGUCUUUUAGAUUUAUUAAUUUAGUUUCUAAGAUGAAUUCAACAUAUUUAACCGAUAGUGUUCUAAACGUUAUUAAAUUGAGCAUUCAAUUAA
rnacentral:lncRNA from 1 species